UACGUAGGGUGCAAGCGUUAAUCGGAAUUACUGGGCGUAAAGCGUGCGCAGGCGGUUCGCUAAGACAGAUGUGAAAUCCCCGGGCUUAACCUGGGAACUGCAUUUGUGACUGGCGGGCUAGAGUAUGGCAGAGGGGGGUAGAAUUCCACGUGUGGCAGUGAAAUGCGUAGAGAUGUGGAGGAAUACCGAUGGCGAAGGCAGCCCCUGGGCCGAAUGACACUCGACG
rnacentral:rRNA from 1 species